CCUAGGUGAUCCUACUAGUAGUCAUAUGCUUGUCUCAAAGAUUAAGGCAUGCAUGUCUAAGUAUGAACUAAUUUAGGCUAUGAAACUGCGAAUGUCUCAUUAAAUCAGUUAUAGUUUUUUUGAUGGUACCCUACUACUCGGAUAACCAUAGUAAUUCUAGAGCUAGUACGUGUACAAAGUCCCAACUCUUUGGAAGGGAUGCAUUUUUUAGAUAAAAGGUCAGUGUGGGCUUGCUCGCUUCUUUGGUGAAUCAUGAUAACUCGACGUAUCACACAACCCUUGUGCUAGCGAUGCUUCAUUCGAAUUUCUGCCCUUUCAUGGUGGUGAUGGAUGAUAGAAAAUUAUGGUUCGAUUCUGGAGAGGGAGCCUAAGAAACAGCUACCACAUCCAAAUAAGGAACCAGGCGUGCAAAUUACCCAAUCAUGACAUGAGGAGGUAGUGACAAUAAAUAACAAUAUUGGGCUCAUUGAGUCUGGUAAUUGGAAUGAAUACAAUCUAAAUCCCUUAAUGAGUAUCCAUUGGAGGGAAAUUCUGGUGCUAGUAGUUGUGGUAAUUCUAGCUCCAAUAGCAUAUAUUUAAGUUGUUGCAGUUAAAAAGCUCAUAGUUGGAUCUUGGGUUGUAAAGGUCAGUCCGCCUACUCGGUGUGCACCUGCCCUUAAAUCCCUUUUGUUGGCGGUGUGCUCCUGACCUUAAUUAGCUGGGUCGCGGCUGCAGUGCUAUUACUUUCAAAAACUUAGAGUUCUCAAAGAAAACCUAUGCUCUAAAUACAUUAGCAUGGAAUAAUUUGAUAAGAUUCCUAUCCUAUUUUUUUGGCCUUUGGGACCGGGGUAAUUAUUAAUAGGGACUGUCAGGGGAAUUCUUAUUUCAUUGUCAGAGGUGAAAUUCUUGGAUUUAUGAAAGACGGACCACUACGAAAGCAUUUGCCAAGGAUGUUUUCAUUAAUCAAGAAUGAAAGUUGGGGGCUCGAAGACAAUGAGAUACCAUCCUAGUCUCAACCAUAAACAAUGUUGACUAGGGAUCAACAGAUGUUUCUCUAAGGACUCCGCCAGCACUUUCUCAGAAAUUGGAGUGUUUGGGUUUUGGGGGGAGUAUGGUCGCAAGGCUAAAACUUAAAGGAAUUGAUGGAAGGGAACCACCAGGAGUGGAGUCUGCGGCUUAAUUUUACUGAACACGGGGAAACUUACCAGGUCCAUACAUAGUAAGGAUUGACAGAUUGAGAGCUCUUUCUUGAUUCUAUGGAUGGUGGCACAUGGUCGUUCUUAGUUGGUGGAGAAAUUUGUCUGGUUAAUUCCAAUAAUGAGCAAGACCUCAGCUUGCUAACUAGCUAUGUGGAAGUUCCCCUUCGUGGCCAACUUCUUAGAGGGAUUAUGGUCGUUUAGGCCAUGGAAAUUUGAGGCAAUAACAGGUCUGUGAUGCCCUUAGAUGUUCUAGGCCACACACGUGCUACACUGAUGCAGCCAACAAGUUUUUCUUCCUAGUUCAAUAGGAUCGGGAAAUCUUCUAAAAUUGGAUGAUGAUUGGGAUAGACCAUUGCAAUUAUUGGUCUUCAACGAGGAAUUCCUAGUAAGCAUGUGUCAUCAACUCAUGUUGACUACAUCCCUCCCCUUUGUACACACCACCCAUCGCUCCUAUCGAUUGAAUGAUCUGGUGAGGUGUGUCUCUAGAGGAGUAGGUUUGGUGUUUGGUGGGAAAAUUGUUGGUUGCUUGUCUUGAGGUCACACUUGUUUUUUCGUGUGUGCUUGCAAGCCAUGCUUGUUC
rnacentral:rRNA from 1 species